rnacentral:rRNA from 1 species
UAAGGCUGAACUUCCCCAAAGCUGUCAUACGCACUCGGAACCCUGAAACCCAAUCACGAAAGUGGCCUUAACUCCUUUGACUCCACGAAAGCUGUGAAACAAACUGGGAUUAGAUACCCCACUAUGCACAGCCAUAAACUUUGAUAGAAGACCACAACCUCUAUCCGCCUGGGAACUACGAGCAUGAGCUUAAAACCCAAAGGACUUGGCGGUGCUUUAGACCCCCCUAGAGGAGCCUGUUCUAGAACCGAUAACCCCCGUUCAACCUCACCUUUUCUUGUUCAUCCCGCCUAUAUACCGCCGUCGUCAGCAUACCCUGUGAAGGAACCAUAGUAAGCCAAACUGGUAAAACCCAAAACGCCAGGUCGAGGUGUAGCAUACGAAGAGGAAAGAAAUGGGCUACAUUUCCUACCCCAGGAAAAACGAAUUAUGCCAUGAAACAUCAUAUGAAGGAGGAUUUAGUAGUAAGCAGAAAACAGAGAGUUAUGCUGAACCUGGCCCUGAAGCGCGCACACACCGCCCGUCACUC